GCCUGGGUGGCUGAAUCGGUUAAGCGUCUGACUUCGGCUCAGGUCACGAUCUCACAGCUCAUGGGUUUGAGCCCUGUGUCGGGCU
rfam:Felis catus isolate Cinnamon breed Abyssinian chromosome B3, whole genome shotgun sequence.